rnacentral:rRNA from 1 species
GAUGAACGCUGACAGAAUGCUUAACACAUGCAAGUCGAUGGGGAAGUGGUGCUUGCACCAUGGCAGCCAUGGCGGACGGGUGAGUAACGCGUAAGGGACUUACCUGCAGGACUGGGAUAACAGGGGGAAACUCCUGACAAGACCGGAUAAUGUCAUGGAGCUGCAUGGCUUUAUGAUGAAAGGAGACGCCUGCGGAGAGCCUUGCGUCCUAUUAGCUAGUUGGUGAGGUAAUGGCUCACCAAGGCGAAGAUAGGUAGCCGGCCUGAGAGGGUGGACGGCCACAAGGGGACUGAGAUACGGCCCUUACUCCUACGGGAGGCAGCAGUGGGGAAUAUUGGACAAUGGGGGCAACCCUGAUCCAGCAAUUCUGUGUGCACGAAGAAGGUUUUCGGAUUGUAAAGUGCCUUCAGCAGGGAAGAAGUAAGUGACGGUACCUGCAGAAGAAGCGACGGCUAAAUACGUG